rnacentral:rRNA from 1 species
UUAUGGACAAUGAGGGAAACCCUGAUCCAGCCACACCGCGUGUAUGAUGAAGGCCUUCGGGUGGUAAAGUACUUUUGGCAGAGAAGAAAAGGUAUCUCCUAAUACGAGAUACUGCUGACGGUAUCUGCAGAAUCACCACAGGCUAACUACGUGCCCGCAGCCGCGGUAAUACGUAGGGUGCAAGCGUUAAUCGGAAUUACUAGGCGUAAAGGGUUUGUAGGCGGUUCGGAAAGAAAGAUUGGAAAACCCAGGGCUCAACCUUGGAACAGCAUUUUUAACUGCCGAGCUAGAGUAUGUCAGAGGGGGGUAGAAUUCCACGUGUAGCAGUGACAUGCGUAGAUAUGUGGAGGAAUACAGAUGGCGAAGGCAGCCCCCUGGGAUAAUACUGACGCUCAGACACGAAAGCGUGGGGAGCAAACA